AAUCCGUGGUAGGGGCAACAUCGAAGCAAGUCCUUGUACCUCUUGCAGGCAUCAUAUAUUCUCUCGUCAUCGAACUGUACAAAAGAAUAUAUGUCAUUUCUCAAUUU